UACGUAGGGUGCAAGCGUUGUCCGGAAUUAUUGGGCGUAAAGAGCUCGUAGGCGGUCUGUCGCGUCUGCUGUGAAAACUCAGGGCUUAACCCUGAGCUUGCAGUGGGUACGGGCAGACUAGAGUGCGGUAGGGGAGACUGGAAUUCCUGGUGUAGCGGUGAAAUGCGCAGAUAUCAGGAGGAACACCGGUGGCGAAGGCGGGUCUCUGGGCCGAUAUUGACGCUGAGGAGCGAAAGCGUGGGGAGCAAACAGG
rnacentral:rRNA from 1 species